rnacentral:rRNA from 1 species
GGUUAAGCGACUAAGCGUACACGGUGGAUGCCCUGGCAGUCAGAGGCGAUGAAGGACGUGCUAAUCUGCGAUAAGCGUCGGUAAGGUGAUAUGAACCGUUAUAACCGGCGAUUUCCGAAUGGGGAAACCCAGUGUGUUUCGACACACUAUCAUUAACUGAAUCCAUAGGUUAAUGAGGCGAACCGGGGGAACUGAAACAUCUAAGUACCCCGAGGAAAAGAAAUCAACCGAGAUUCCCCCAGUAGCGGCGAGCGAACGGGGAGCAGCCCAGAGCCUGAAUCAGUGUGUGUGUUAGUGGAAGCGUCUGGAAAGGCGCGCGAUACAGGGUGACAGCCCCGUACACAAAAAUGCACAUGCUGUGAGCUCGAUGAGUAGGGCGGGACACGUGGUAUCCUGUCUGAAUAUGGGGGGACCAUCCUCCAAGGCUAAAUACUCCUGACUGACCGAUAGUGAACCAGUACCGUGAGGGAAAGGCGAAAAGAACCCCGGCGAGGGGAGUGAAAAAGAACCUGAAACCGUGUACGUACAAGCAGUGGGAGCACGCUUAGGCGUGUGACUGCGUACCUUUUGUAUAAUGGGUCAGCGACUUAUAUUCUGUAGCAAGGUUAACCGAAUAGGGGAGCCGAAGGGAAACCGAGUCUUAACUGGGCGUUAAGUUGCAGGGUAUAGACCCGAAACCCGGUGAUCUAGCCAUGGGCAGGUUGAAGGUUGGGUAACACUAACUGGAGGACCGAACCGACUAAUGUUGAAAAAUUAGCGGAUGACUUGUGGCUGGGGGUGAAAGGCCAAUCAAACCGGGAGAUAGCUGGUUCUCCCCGAAAGCUAUUUAGGUAGCGCCUCGUGAAUUCAUCUCCGGGGGUAGAGCACUGUUUCGGCAAGGGGGUCAUCCCGACUUACCAACCCGAUGCAAACUGCGAAUACCGGAGAAUGUUAUCACGGGAGACACACGGCGGGUGCUAACGUCCGUCGUGAAGAGGGAAACAACCCAGACCGCCAGCUAAGGUCCCAAAGUCAUGGUUAAGUGGGAAACGAUGUGGGAAGGCCCAGACAGCCAGGAUGUUGGCUUAGAAGCAGCCAUCAUUUAAAGAAAGCGUAAUAGCUCACUGGUCGAGUCGGCCUGCGCGGAAGAUGUAACGGGGCUAAACCAUGCACCGAAGCUGCGGCAGCGACACUAUGUGUUGUUGGGUAGGGGAGCGUUCUGUAAGCCUGUGAAGGUGUGCUGUGAGGCAUGCUGGAGGUAUCAGAAGUGCGAAUGCUGACAUAAGUAACGAUAAAGCGGGUGAAAAGCCCGCUCGCCGGAAGACCAAGGGUUCCUGUCCAACGUUAAUCGGGGCAGGGUGAGUCGACCCCUAAGGCGAGGCCGAAAGGCGUAGUCGAUGGGAAACAGGUUAAUAUUCCUGUACUUGGUGUUACUGCGAAGGGGGGACGGAGAAGGCUAUGUUGGCCGGGCGACGGUUGUCCCGGUUUAAGCGUGUAGGCUGGUUUUCCAGGCAAAUCCGGAAAAUCAAGGCUGAGGCGUGAUGACGAGGCACUACGGUGCUGAAGCAACAAAUGCCCUGCUUCCAGGAAAAGCCUCUAAGCAUCAGGUAACAUCAAAUCGUACCCCAAACCGACACAGGUGGUCAGGUAGAGAAUACCAAGGCGCUUGAGAGAACUCGGGUGAAGGAACUAGGCAAAAUGGUGCCGUAACUUCGGGAGAAGGCACGCUGAUAUGUAGGUGAAGUCCCUUGCGGAUGGAGCUGAAAUCAGUCGAAGAUACCAGCUGGCUGCAACUGUUUAUUAAAAACACAGCACUGUGCAAACACGAAAGUGGACGUAUACGGUGUGACGCCUGCCCGGUGCCGGAAGGUUAAUUGAUGGGGUUAGCGCAAGCGAAGCUCUUGAUCGAAGCCCCGGUAAACGGCGGCCGUAACUAUAACGGUCCUAAGGUAGCGAAAUUCCUUGUCGGGUAAGUUCCGACCUGCACGAAUGGCGUAAUGAUGGCCAGGCUGUCUCCACCCGAGACUCAGUGAAAUUGAACUCGCUGUGAAGAUGCAGUGUACCCGCGGCAAGACGGAAAGACCCCGUGAACCUUUACUAUAGCUUGACACUGAACAUUGAGCCUUGAUGUGUAGGAUAGGUGGGAGGCUUUGAAGUGUGGACGCCAGUCUGCAUGGAGCCGACCUUGAAAUACCACCCUUUAAUGUUUGAUGUUCUAACGUUGACCCGUAAUCCGGGUUGCGGACAGUGUCUGGUGGGUAGUUUGACUGGGGCGGUCUCCUCCUAAAGAGUAACGGAGGAGCACGAAGGUUGGCUAAUCCUGGUCGGACAUCAGGAGGUUAGUGCAAUGGCAUAAGCCAGCUUGACUGCGAGCGUGACGGCGCGAGCAGGUGCGAAAGCAGGUCAUAGUGAUCCGGUGGUUCUGAAUGGAAGGGCCAUCGCUCAACGGAUAAAAGGUACUCCGGGGAUAACAGGCUGAUACCGCCCAAGAGUUCAUAUCGACGGCGGUGUUUGGCACCUCGAUGUCGGCUCAUCACAUCCUGGGGCUGAAGUAGGUCCCAAGGGUAUGGCUGUUCGCCAUUUAAAGUGGUACGCGAGCUGGGUUUAGAACGUCGUGAGACAGUUCGGUCCCUAUCUGCCGUGGGCGCUGGAGAACUGAGGGGGGCUGCUCCUAGUACGAGAGGACCGGAGUGGACGCAUCACUGGUGUUCGGGUUGUCAUGCCAAUGGCACUGCCCGGUAGCUAAAUGCGGAAGAGAUAAGUGCUGAAAGCAUCUAAGCACGAAACUUGCCCCGAGAUGAGUUCUCCCUGACUCCUUGAGAGUCCUGAAGGAACGUUGAAGACGACGACGUUGAUAGGCCGGGUGUGUAAGCGCAGCGAUGCGUUGAGCUAACCGGUACUAAUGAACCGUGAGGCUUAACCUU